rnacentral:rRNA from 1 species
GAUGAACGCUGGCGGCAUGCUUACCUCAUGCAAGUCAAACGUUAAUCUUUAUAGAUUAUAAGGGGCGCACGGGGGCGUAACGCGUAAAAACCUACCUUUCGAAAAGGGAUAACAAGGGGAAACUGUUGCUAAUACCUCGUAAAGCUGAAAAGUGAAAGGAAAACCGCCAAAAGAGGGGCUGGCGUCUGAUUAGCUAGUUGGGGGGGGUAACGGCCUCCCAAGGCCACAAUCAGUAGCUGGUCUGAGAGGAUGAUCAGCCACACUGGGACUGAAACACGGCCCAAACUCCUACGGGAGGCAGCAGUGAGGAAUU